rnacentral:rRNA from 1 species
AAAGGUGGCUAUGCUACCGCUUUUGGAUGGGCCCGCGGCGCAUUAGCUAGUUGGUGGGGUAAAGGCUUACCAAGGCAAUGAUGCGUAGCCGAACUGAGAGGUUGAUCGGCCACAUUGGGACUGAGACACGGCCCAAACUCCUACGGGAGGCAGCAGUAGGGAAUCUUCCACAAUGGGCGAAAGCCUGAUGGAGCAACGCCGCGUGGGUAAAGAAGGUCUUCGGAUCGUAAAACCCUGUUGUUAGAGAAGAAAGUGCGUGAGAGUAACUGUUCACGUUUCGACGGUAUCUAACCAGAAAGCCACGGCUAACUACGUGCCAGCAGCCGCGGUAAUACGUAGGUGGCAAGCGUUAUCCGGAUUUAUUGGGCGUAAAGGGAACGCAGGCGGUCUUUUAAGUCUGAUGUGAAAGCCUUCGGCUUAACCGGAGUAGUGCAUUGGAAACUGGGAGACUUGAGUGCAGAAGAGGAGAGUGGAACUCCAUGUGUAGCGGUGAAAUGCGUAGAUAUAUGGAAGAACACCAGUGGCGAAAGCGGCUCUCUGGUCUGUAACUGACGCUGAGGUUCGAAAGCGUGGGUAGCAAACAGGAUUAGAUACCCUGGUAGUCCACGCCGUAAACGAUGAAUGCUAAGUGUUGGAGGGUUUCCGCCCUUCA